rnacentral:rRNA from 1 species
UACGGGGGGGGCAAGCGUUGUUCGGAAUUACUGGGCGUAAAGGGCUCGUAGGCGGCCAACUAAGUCAGACGUGAAAUCCCUCGGCUUAACCGGGGAACUGCGUCUGAUACUGGAUGGCUUGAGUGUGGGAGAGGAAUGCGGAAUUCCAGGUGUAGCGGUGAAAUGCGUAGAUAUCAGGAGGAACACCUGUGGCGAAAGCGGCUCACUGGACCACAACUGACGCUGAGGCGCGAAAGCUAGGGGAGCAAACAGG